rnacentral:lncRNA from 1 species
AUGCAAAGAACUGCCUUUUUAUUUCAUGUCACUUCCUGUGAGAGGGACUUUUGCGGCUUUUUGAGGUGGUUCUUGAUUUAUAGGGCUGCAGUGUGGAGACCUGAGACUGCUUCCCUUAGGAGACCACAUGAAGGGACCAAGGACCUUUCAGUACUGCUCAUGCUCAAGCCCCAGCUGAUCCAUCCUCAGCCUCAGUUCCCAAGCUGCUCUUGCCUGCAUCAGUGUAAGGUAGAUUCUUCAAUCAACUGAUGGAAUUGUAGGGUACGUGGAUGUUGGCUGGCUAAAGAGUCAGCAGCUUUUCUUCCUGUUCUUAAAAGCCAAGGUAAACUCUAAGGAGAGAAUCUUCAUUUCCAAUGAAAAAGAAAAUGGAGAAAAGAGGAAAUUGCUUUUUUCCUUUUUCCCUCGAGUCUCUUUCAGAGUUCAGUUGCUUUCUCCCUCCUCUCUCUCCUUACCAAGAGCAGUGUCCUACACUGGAGCAAUUCACCCAAUAGAAGAGUCCACAGCCAGCAGAAAGUGGACCUUGAGAGUACAGCUACUAUAAAAUCUAGCUAUGGAAAAGAACAGGCUCAGGAAGCCCAGCAGUUGACCUGUCCAGGAGAGUGGCCAAACUCAGGAGGAGCAGUAUGAAAACAUCAUUAUGCAUCAGUAUCAAAAAGCAUCAGUACCCUAUUGGAGAAGGAGCAACAUUUGCUACUAAUAUGGUCAGGCACACAGUGGACCUUGUUGCAUAGCUAGAAAAUCACCCAGCAUGCUCUGAGCUUCACAAAAUUUAGAAUUCAAGAGUAGGAAUAUUCUGGGAGCUAUCAGGCCACAACGCCUUGACAGAGUCAUGCAUGGUAGUUAAGGAGGCCACAGAGUGGCCCUUGGAAAGAUGUGAUUGCUCACUCAGUCCCCCUUGCAUGACCUCUCUCAUUAAUAUCUCUUACCUAUGAAGUUGACAUGAUUACUAUUCCCCCUAGUCUCAAAAGGAAUAAUGCAAAAGCAAAAAAAACCUGUACCCUAAUUCUCCAAAACAUCACCAAAAUAUCAGACCCUCAAGCCCAAUCCCAAAAGACUACCAUGGGUUAACUUUUACUUAGACAAAUAAUUCCCAGUAAAACCACAGCUACUGGGCAAGCCCAAAGCAUUCCCACUCACAGAAACUUAUUCUCAUGAAGCCAAUACACAAAUCAAUCAUAAAGGCCCAUACAAAAUGUACAGGUACACUAAGCUUCAAUAUACCUCAGUUACUCGACUUUACAAACCAGUAAUUUGCCAGUGGGAAACUCCCUAGUAAACCCUGAGAAAUGAUUGGUCUAAUAUUAAAUUUUGUUCCCAGUACCUCUCAACCUCAAUGAUACAACUGCUGAAUUGUCUUUUAAGAACUUCUGAUUAAUUAUUCCAUUUUAUUAAAAGUAAUAAGUAAAUUUCCUUGAUUAUUUGUAAACUCAAAACUUCUCACAGGGUAAUGAGAAAAUUGAGCCACGUGUGACAAAAUCAUUUAUCUUGUAUGCUGUCUGUAAUCACAAUAUAAGAAUAUAGAAUGUUAAUCAAGUGAUUUCUUAAGAGUUAAUGUAUCACUUUUCCAAUUAUCUCCAUUUAGACAUGUGUGUUAGAUAAUGUAUCUGUGUGCCAAGAAAAUGGGUAUAAAAAUAAACACCAGGCCUGGGAAUGGAAGAACA